GUUAAACCACCAUUUAUUAUUAAGGAGUAAGAGACAGUUUCUACACAAGCCAUAAUCCACUGAGUGAAUUUUGCUGGAAAACCCAAGUCAGUUAGGAUCUGUCUCAAAUAACCCCACUCCAAAGUAUCAUAUGCUUUCCUCAAGUCCACCUUUAGUACACAUCUAGGGGACACUCCCUUCCUAGAGUAUCCCUUGAAGAUUUCUUGACUUAGCAAAAUGUUGUCAAUAAUGCUUCGACCUUCAAUAAAAGCUGACUAAGCAGGUCCCACCAAUUCCCC
rnacentral:lncRNA from 1 species